rnacentral:rRNA from 1 species
GGUUCGAUUUGCGGCUCGUGAUUGACCGCUGGCGGGAUGUGCUUACACAUGCAAGUCGAACGGCAGCACGGACUUCGGUCUGGUGGCGAGUGGCGAACGGGUGAGUAAUGUAUCGGAACGCCUAGUAGCGGGGAUAACUACGCGAAAGCGUAAUCAAUACCGCAUACGCCCUUCGGGGGAAAGCGGGGACCUUCGGGCCUCGCACUAUUAGAGCGGCCGAUAUCGGAUUAGCUAGCUGGUGGGUAACGGCUCACCAAGGCGACGAUCCGUAGCUGGUUUGAGAGGACGACCAGCCACACUGGGACUGGAGACACGGCCCAGACCCACGGAGGCAGCAGUGGGGAAUUUUGACAAUGGGGGAAACUGAUCCAGCCAUCCCGCGUGCGAUGAAGGCCUUCGGGUUGUAAAGCACUUUUGGCAGGAGAAUGCGGCACGUGGAUAAUACCCCGUGCAACUGACGGUACCUGCAGAAUAAGCACCGGCUAACUACGUGCCAGCAGCCGCGGUAAUACGUAGGGUGCAAGCGUUAAUCGGAAUUACUGGGCGUAAAGCGUGCGCAGGCGGUUCGGAAAGAAAGAUGUGAAAUCCCAGAGCUUAACUUUGGAACUGCAUUUUUAACUACCGAGCUAGAGUGUGUCAGAGGGAGGUGGAAUUCGCGUGUAGCAGUGAAAUGCGUAGAUAUGCAGAGGAACACCGAUGGCGAAGGCAGCCUCCUGGGAUAACAUCGACGCUCAUGCACGAAAGCGUGGGGAGCAAACAGAUUAGAUACCCUGGGUAGUCCACGCUCUAAACGAUGUCAACUAGCUGUUGGGGCCUUCGCUCUGGUAGCGCAGCUAACGCGUGAAGUUGACCGCCUGGGGAGUACGGUCGCAAGAUUAAAACUCAAAGGAAUUGACGGGGACCCGCACAAGCGGUGGAUGAUGUGGAUUAAUUCGAUGCAACGCGAAAAACCUUACCUACCCUUGACAUGUCUGGAAUCCCGAAGAGGACGGGAGUGCUCGCAAGAGAACCGGAACACAGGUGCUGCAUGGCUGUCGUCAGCUCGUGUCGUGAGAUGUUGGGUUAAGUCCCGCAACGAGCGCAACCCUUGUCAUUAGUUGCUACGAAAGGGCACUCUUAAUGAGACUGCCGGUGACAAACCGGAGGAAGGUGGGGAUGACGUCAAGUCCUCAUGGCCCUUAUGGGUAGGGCUUCACACGUCAUACAAUGGUCGGGACAGAGGGUCGCCAACCCGCGAGGGGGAGCCAAUCCCCAGAAACCCGAUCGUAGUCCGGAUCGCAGUUCGCAACCUCGACUGCGUGAAGUCGGAAUCGCUAGUAAUCGCGGAUCAGCAUGUCGCGGUGAAUACGUUCCCGGGUCUUGUACACACCGCCCGUCACACCAUGGGAGUGGGUUUUACCAGAAGUAGUUAGCCUAACCGUAAGGAGGGCGAUUACCACGGUAGGAUUCAUGACUGGGGUGAAGUCGUAACAAGGUAA